rnacentral:rRNA from 1 species
CCUUGACGUUAGCGGCGGACGGGUGAGUAACACGUGGGUAACCUACCUAUAAGACUGGGAUAACUUCGGGAAACCGGAGCUAAUACCGGAUAAUAUUUCGAACCGCAUGGUUCGAUAGUGAAAGANGGUUUUGCUAUCACUUAUAGAUGGACCCGCGCCGUAUUAGCUAGUUGGUAAGGUAACGGCUUACCAAGGCGACGAUACGUAGCCGACCUGAGAGGGUGAUCGGCCACACUGGAACUGAGACACGGUCCAGACUCCUACGGGAGGCAGCAGAU